GCCUACUCUUGGAGAUACGUGCCCGGACAGUCAGGGGUACAGGGACCUAACGGUCUCACCAUAUUAUACCAUAUCUUGUAUAUGGCAUACAGACCAGGAGCUCCUACACAAAAUUUGACAGGUCGGGCAUGGAACAGGAUCGUACAAAUGAGUAAUCGCUUUAUUUCACUCUCUCACUACAGCACGUGAGGACUCUUCUUUGUUAUGAGUCCCACUUACCAUUCGAUCCAGAUCACUUAUCACUCUUCAACGAUAUACCUGGAUGGUAAUCUCAAC